GGACGAACGCUGGCGGCGUGCCUAACACAUGCAAGUCGAGCGAGGAGAGUCCUUCGGGAUGAUCCUAGCGGCGGACGGGUGAGUAACACGUGGGCAACCUGCCUCAUAGAGAGGAAUAGCCUUCCGAAAGGGAGAUUAAUACCUCAUAACAUUGCAGUUUCGCAUGGAACAGCAAUUAAAGGAGCAAUCCGCUAUGAGAUGGGCCCGCGGCGCAUUAGCUAGUUGGUGAGGUAACGGCUCACCAAGGCGACGAUGCGUAGCCGACCUGAGAGGGUGAUCGGCCACAUUGGGACUGAGACACGGCCCAGACUCCUACGGGAGGCAGCAGUGGGGAAUAUUGCACAAUGGGGGAAACCCUGAUGCAGCCAACGCCGCGUGAGUGAUGACGGCCUUCGGGUUGUAAAGCUCUGUCUUCAGGGACGAUAAUGACGGUACCUGAGGAGGAAGCCACGGCUAACUACGUGCCAGCAGCAGC
rnacentral:rRNA from 1 species